rnacentral:rRNA from 1 species
GACGAACCGUGCGAACGUUGUUCGGAAUCACUGGGCUUAAAGGGCGCGUAGGCGGGCUGCCGCGUCCGGGGUGAAAUCCCACGGCUCAACCGUGGAACGGCCUCGGAUACGGGCGGCCUCGAGGGGGGUAGGGGCAUCUGGAACUGUGAGUGGAGCGGUGAAAUGCGUUGAUAUUCACAGGAACUCCGGUGGCGAAGGCGAGGUGCUGGACCCCUUCUGACGCUGAGGCGCGAAAGCCAGGGGAGCAAACAGG